CCUACGGGAGACAGCAGUGAGGAAUAUUGGUCAAUGGUCGGGAGACUGAACCAGCCAAGCCGCGUGAGGGAUGAAGGUACAGAGUAUCGUAAACCUCUUUUGUCAGGGAACAAAGGCGGGGACGUGUCCCCGGAUGAGUGUACCUGAAGAAAAAGCAUUGGCUAACUCCGUGCCAGCAGCCGCGGUAAUACGGAGGGUGCGGGCGUUAUCCGGAUUUAUUGGGUUUAAAGGGUGCGCAGGCGGCUUGUUAAGCGUGCGGUCAAAUCCCGUGGCUCAACCCCGGCCCGGCGGUGCAAACUGGCAGGCUCGAGUGGGAGGGAAGUAUGCGGAAUGCGUGGUGUAGCGGUGAAAUGCAUAGAUAUCGCGAAGAACUCCGAUUGCGAAGGCAGCAUGCCGGCUCCACACUGACGCUGAGGCACGAAGGCGUGGGUAUCGAACAGGAUUAGAUACCCCUGUAGUC
rnacentral:rRNA from 1 species